GCAUGCUUCAGCAGUACAUAUAUUGAAAAUGGAGUGAUAGAGAAGAUUAGUAUGGCCCCUGCACAAGGAUGACAUGCAAAUUCAUGAAGCAUUCCACAUUUUU